rnacentral:lncRNA from 1 species
CAAAAUCAAUACCAACCUUCCUUUUAUGGUCAUAAACCUUGUGUUUAAAUUUCAUAGAUUUAUAUUUACUUAUACUAACGUUAUGGUGCGAAAACCAAGAAAAAUGCUUAUUUGGGUCCCUUUUUGGCCCCUAAUAAAAUCAUGGCCAAACUAUAAAUUGGCAUACAAAUUAGGAACAUCAUAUCAUAGAAAUCAUGUGUACUAAGUAUAAAGUUGAUUGGAAUUUUACUUCAUCUAAAAUUAUCUUGACUUAAAAAACUUUAACCUGAAGCAAUGCAGACGAGCAGACUGACACAGACUAAAAAACGUUGGGGCAUAAAAAAUUGAAAUACAGGUAAAGCUAUACACAAUUGUGCAUUAAUAAGAUCUUUUUUCCAACUGACAUAACCAACCAAUUAUAAAUUGGAAAGAAAAAAAUCAUGAGUUAAAAUACAUGUACCUAGUGAUAUAGACUGAGACAUGCAUAACAAACAAUUUCAAGAGUAUAAAAACAACAUUUAAAAGAAAUCUUACAGAGAUUCAAAAUAUUUGAAUGGGCCAAUUAUGGCAGCCUAUUAGGGAUUAUGUUAUUGUAAUCAUUCCUAACAAAAUUAAUGCAUACAAUUUUGGGGCCCUUUAAAGCUUGUUGUCGUGUGUGAGCCAAGCUUUUGUUGAAGGCCGUACAUUGACCUAUAAUGGUUUACUUUUUUUAAAUUGUUGUUUGGAUGGAGAGUUGUCUCAUUGGCACUCAUAACACAUCUUCCUAUAUCUAUAUACAAUUAAAAUCAAUGAUUAAUAAAAUGGAGAAUGAAAAUAAGGAAUGUGUUAAAGAGCAGUGACAGAUCCAAGGGAUUAGGGGUUUGAACCAGCCAUUGAACACCCCCAUUCUUUUUUUUAUGAUCAAUGCUUUUGAUUGGGAACAAAUGGUUGGAAUCUCCUAUUCAAAAUGGCUUGGUCCGCCCCUGAGGAGAUAACAAUGAAAAGCUAUAAAGAAAUGACAAAAAAAUGACAAAAAGAACCUAAAUGUUAACAUAAUGUUUCCGUAAAUAAUGCUGAGUUCACAUGUAAUUCGAAUUUGAUUUGUAUCAAUAUUAAAAAAUUAGUUUAAUUCGCAUUCGAAGCGUUUAACGUCAAUUCUAAUUUGAAUUGCAAUGCGUGUCAAAUUCCCUUUACUCUCCAAACGACGUUAAUUUUUAAGUAUUAACAAAAGCAUAUUUCUAAUGCGAAUUAGAUAAUUGGAAUUAGCCAAUUAUAAUCAAUUUGAAUUAAA